CUUCUUCACUCGUGAAUCCAGCACAGUCCUGAAUAAUGUCGGGGCAGUAACUCCAUCUGUCCCUUCCAUGAGAGUCCGUGCCUGGUCCUUGGUAUUUCUCUUCACGAAGUGAAAAAGAUGAACAGAAACGAAUAACAAGUCACAUGGUAACUUUGCUGGAGAUCAAAAUUUUCUUUUUGUUUAUAUAACAGUCUGUUGCACUCUCCUUUGAUAUCCCACGAGUUCCACUAUUUGGGACGAAUUGCGAGGAGGAGAUCGCACUCUUCUACACUGGCGUGACCAAGUGACUUUGUUAGAGAACGUGGUGAUGGGUUCGCAGCUAGUGACUCUGCUAGAAUGGAUCCGUGACAAAGUGCUGGACUUUCCACCUGAUGGCACCUGGCAAAUUCCUGCCUGGCAAGCUGUCGGCAGGCGGUUGUGUGACGCUGCUGUGGAGGGGGACUCCGUGGCAGGCAUGUGUUUAGUGCCUUGGUGGCAAAUUCUGACUACUCUUCCGCCAAGUGUGGGCUAAUUCUACUAACGGCGCUAAACCAGGGGAGGCUGUAAAUCCCCCCAACAGCGCGGCUCUUCUCAACACACCGUCAACGACGGCGAUUCCCUCCACACCUCCUCUGCCCCCAAAGCUCCUGUCACUGACUGCAGCGACCCUCACAGCACAGGACCGAGCGUGGGAACAGGACAACUCGGACAAUGAUUCCAUUGACACCGAUAAACCUUUUGACCCAGGUCCUAUAGACCCGGAAGAGGAGCUAGACAUUUUUCCUCCUCCCGCUGAUGCACUGGCCGUAUUUUCGGGGAGGGUGAAAGGGGGUCUGCGGGAUCGGUGGCAGGAAUGCAGGCGGGAAGCGCUUAAGCGAGGGCAUUUGGGAGGCGCCAUGGCACGUUCACUAUUUUGUCAGCCAAAUCAACCUGCAGAGUGGCAGCCUGUGCAAUACGAGGCUGUUAAAGAGUUAAGCAAAGCCGUGCGGGAAGGGGGGAUCCAUAAUGAGAGAACAGCUGGGUAUUGUGAAGGAGACUAGGAAAGAUAAACAUGGUUAUCUAGUGUUUAAUAGGUGUCUGCAUGCUUGUAGUGAUAUAUAGCUAUGUAACUGCAUGAAUGAUUUCUGCCCUGAGCCUGGUGGAGCAUACAGCUGCGGUUUGUGUCCGGGCUCAGAGAUGUAAAUAGGGGCUUCUCUGUUACGGUAAAAGUGUUUCUCUUUGCAUAAAAAAGAGAGGGAAUGAAGGGAAUGACCCCAGAGGUAUGUUCAGAGAAGGCAUGCGAUGUUUCGAACUUUUUGACUGAACCAGUUCUUGUUUGGUGUGCCCUUCCACCUAUGUAUAAUGUUAAUCCAAAAGAAGCUGAUAUUGUUUACA